AUGGGCCCGCGGCCUAUCAGCUUGUUGGUGGGGUAAUGGCCUACCAAGGCGACGACGGGUAGCCGGCCUGAGAGGGUGACCGGCCACACUGGGACUGAGAUACGGCCCAGACUCCUACGGGAGGCAGCAGUGGGGAAUAUUGCACAAUGGGCGCAAGCCUGAUGCAGCGACGCCGCGUGAGGGAUGACGGCCUUCGGGUUGUAAACCUCUUUCAGUAGGGACGAAGCGCAAGUGACGGUACCUAUAGAAGAAGGACCGGCCAACUACGUGCCAGCAGCCGCGGUAAUACGUAGGGUCCGAGCGUUGUCCGGAAUUACUGGGCGUAAAGAG
rnacentral:rRNA from 1 species